rnacentral:rRNA from 1 species
UACGAAGGGGGCUAGCGUUGCUCGGAAUUACUGGGCGUAAAGCGCACGUAGGCGGUCUUUUAAGUCGGGGGUGAAAUCCUGGAGCUCAACUCCAGAACUGCCUUUGAUACUGGCGACCUUGAGUCCGGGAGAGGUGAGUGGAACUGCGAGUGUAGAGGUGAAAUUCGUAGAUAUUCGCAAGAACACCAGUGGCGAAGGCGGCUCACUGGCCCGAUACUGACGCUGAGGUGCGAAAGCGUGGGGAGCAAACAGG